rnacentral:rRNA from 1 species
GACGAACGCUGGCGGCGUGCUUAACACAUGCAAGUCGAACGGAAAGGCCCUGCUUUUGUGGGGUGCUCGAGUGGCGAACGGGUGAGUAACACGUGAGUAACCUGCCCUUGACUUUGGGAUAACUUCAGGAAACUGGGGCUAAUACCGGAUAGGAGCUCCUGCUGCAUGGUGGGGGUUGGAAAGUUUCGGCGGUUGGGGAUGGACUCGCGGCUUAUCAGCUUGUUGGUGGGGUAGUGGCUUACCAAGGCUAUGACGGGUAGCCGGCCUGAGAGGGUGACCGGCCACAUUGGGACUGAGAUACGGCCCCGACUCCUACGGGAGGCAGCAGUGGGGAAUAUUGCACAAUGGGCGGAAGCCUGAUGCAGCAACGCCGCGUGCGGGAUGACGGCCUUCGGGUUGUAAACCGCUUUCGCCUGUGACGAAGCGUGAGUGACGGUAAUGGGUAAAGAAGCACCGGCUAACUACGUG